rnacentral:misc_RNA from 1 species
CCUACAUUGGUUCAUACUCCAGUGGAAACUCUAUACAUUUAGCAAGACUGAUGAAAUCUCUCAAAAUCCCUCAAGUCAGUUUUGGGGCAUCUUCUGUUGCAUUGCUAGAUAGUGAUCGCUAUCCGUACUUCCUGCGUACAGUACCAGCAGAUGACAGACAGGCUAUGGGUAUGAUUGAGUUCCUGAGAAGGUAUGACAUCCGAUAUGUUCAAGUUAUACAUACUGCUGAUAACUAUGGUGAACAAGGUGCAGCAAUCUUCAAUAAGCUCGCUUUCCAAAACAAAGUGUGUGUCUCUCAAACAGUCUCUUUCCUUCCUCAGAGUGCAGUCACUGUUGAAAAUGCCAACGAUGUUGUCCUUGCCCUUCUCAAGAAGCCAGUCGCUAACACUGUCGUAGUAUUUGCUGACACAGCUUACAUAAAUGAACUUCUGCAUGCGAUCAGAAGAAAUCCAGAUGCACAUGGAAAGUUCCGAUUUGUUGGCUCAGAAACUUGGGCCAACAAUAAUGAAGCUAUUGAGGGGGUGGAAGAUAUCGCCGUUACCUCAGUAACAGUUGAUUUAGAUAUUGUUGACAUCCGUGAAUUUGACGAGUACCUUGCAACAAAAACCCCGGCUAACUAUCCGGAGAAUCCCUGGUUUCCAGAAUAUUACGAGGAGAUACAGAACUGUUACCUUACCAUCUCUGAUACUCGCUUCCCAGGCAGAUGUUCAGCCUCGCCCAAAAAUAUUGUGACAUCCAAGAGGUACAAACAAGACACAGCUCUCAUCCAUGUUAUCAAUGCUGUAUACUCAUCAGCAUAUGGGCCUUGACCUUGCUUUGAGAGAGGAGUGUGGAGAUAAUUNNNNNNNNGUUUGUGAAGCAUUCAAAANUCGGGACAAUAGAAGAGAAUUUGUUCUUGAACAAAUACAAAANNNNCAAGUUUUGUGGAUCUUUCUGGUCAGCCAUUUAGUUUCUCAGACAGGGGUGAUGGCAAUAAGGGAUAUGUGAUGUACUCAAUUGAUUCAUCAAAUGUCGAGGGAUACACUUACAACCCGGUAAAUUGCCAAGUACUCUAGUGAUGGACAUCUAACUAUGACUUCAUCAACAUAUUCACCAAGCUGGGAUGGAAGUUGUGAUAGAAAGGAUUCGUGUACAGAAUGCCCAACUAUUAGAAAUCUACUUACAAGAUACAUGCUGCCUGAUUAUUUGACUAGCGCCAUACAAGCAGAUCCUGCUACACUCAUCUUUGUUCUUGACAUCCGUGAGCGUGGAACUGAUGAGUAUGUUUGUGGAGAAAUGAACAUGCGUGAAAUGAUGCAAGCUUUGUCCGUAGUGUAUGUUCUGGAGCAAGCCAACCUAAUCGGAUCCCCAUUUAAAAUCAGACCCUUAAUCCUUGAUAAUUGUAAUAAUGCUCUAAGAAUUGAUCAAGAUCUUUUCAACUUACUGACAACCGGAAAGCUGUGUAAUGCUCCAUUCGAUUCAGAUCAAAGUACCAUUGANGUAAGCUCGAUCAUGRGUGUCAUGACACGRGGAUCACGUUUUGUUGCUGCUGCUAAUCGUGUCACAGCUCCAAUGAAAAUUCAGCUAAUGAGCUCCUCAGCAUCAUCAUCGGCUCUGAGUGAUCAAUGGAGAUAUCCAUACUUUGCCCGUACUGUUCCCCCAGAUAGCCAAAUGAUGGAAGUUAUUGCAAAGAUUCUGCUUGCAAACGGCUGGAGUUAUGUUGGUGUUGUGUACACUACAGAAAGCUAUGGUAUCAAUGGUUACCGAGCCUUGCAGUCAACCAUUAAUGAAGGUCUAUACUCCUGCAUNGGAUAUGCUGAAGGAGUUAACGUAGGUGCUUCUGUUGAUGAAAUACGGCCUGUUAUUCGUCGUGUUGCUAACACAGAAGGUAUAGGUGUUAUUGUUCUACUUGUGACCAAUCCUAGACCCAUACUGGAGGCUAUCAAAGCUGAAGGUCUGGCUGAUCGGUUUGUUGUGAUCGGCACCGAUUCUUGGGCCGAUUAUUCUACAGUUGCAGAAGACAUGGCUAAAGAUUUUGCUGGUUCCAUUACUAUUGGAUUUAGGAACGCCUACUUUGAUGAUUUCACUGCCUGGAUGAAACGCCUUAGAAUGAGUAACAAGUUGGGAAUUCCUGAUGACUGGUUUGAUGAAUUUUAUCAAAAUCUUCAUGAAUGCUAUCUUACAGACUCUCCUGCUCGAAGCAAUAAAUAUAGUGAUCCAUGUAAGGGAUUCACAAGCGAUGGAAACGAUCAAGGUGACAUAGUCAGUGACGAUAAAGUAGAAAAAUACGGACCUCUUCUUCUGACAACUGC